UACGGGGGGGGCAAGCGUUGUUCGGAAUUACUGGGCGUAAAGGGCUCGUAGGCGGCCAACUAAGUCAUACGUGAAAUCCCUCGGCUUAACCGGGGAACUGCGUCUGAUACUGGAUGGCUUGAAUCCGGGAGAGGGAUGCAGAAUUCCAGGUGUAGCGGUGAAAUGCGUAGAUAUCUGGAGGAAUACCGGUGGCGAAGGCGGCAUCCUGGACCGGCAUUGACGCUGAGGAGCGAAAGCCAGGGGAGCAAACGGG
rnacentral:rRNA from 1 species